UAAACAAUCCACUCCAAAUCAUAGUCAAACACUGUUCUGAAUUUAAAAAAAACUACAAAAAUGCGAAAAGUUUUGCGGAUUAUUGCUUUGUGCGUUGUUAGCACUUUGGCCGUACCGAAUCUCAAAAUUGCUAGAAAUGCCCUUGAAUUCGUUCGCAUGCAACAGCACUUGAAGUCUGUUGAUGGUGACCUCGCGGCUUGUGCCUAAAUCCAUGCAGGAACUGUUGCUAACGCCCUUUUUCCAAACUAUCUAUCCCUAGUAGGAUGCACAGAAGAUUGCGCUGGAGAAUUAGUUGCCCUUCAAGAAGAAAUCACAAUUGUUGUUGAAACUCUAGUUCAAGAUGUUGAAGAACAAGUUGCCGCUUUGAAAGCUUGUGGUGAUGAUCAAACAUGCAAAGCUAAUAUCGUAAAGGAAAUCGCUGAAAUUAUAAGUGCUACUAUUAAGGACCUGAAAGAAAUUGUUAAUAAACAUCUAACUAUCUUAGAAGACAAAUUUCCAGAAGCUGCUGAGUGUGCUCGAGCUUCUUUUCAAACAUUUGCUGAAACAGUAGAAACAGCUGCACAUGAUUUUGUUACUUGUCUUAAAAAUUAAAUACAAAAAACUUUUAUUAUUUCUGUACUUCAA